GACGAACGCUGGCGGCGUGCUUAACACAUGCAAGUCGAACGGAAAGGCCCUGCUUUUGUGGGUUGCUCGAUUGGCGAACGGGUGAGUAACACGUGAGUAACCUGCCCUUGUCUUUGGGAUAACUUCAGGAAACUGGGGCUAAUACCGGAUAGGAGCUCCUGCUGCAUGGUGGGGGUUGGAAAGUUUCGGCGGUUGUGGAUGGUCUCGCGGCUUAUCAGCUUGUUGGUGGGGUAGUGGCUUACAAAGGCUUGGACGGGUAGCCGGCCUGAGAGGGAGACCGGCUCCAUUGUCCUUGGGGAGCGACCCGGACUCAUUCGGGCGGCAGCGGCGGAAACCUUUCGACACUGGGCGGAGGCCUGAAGGAGGAACGCCGCAUCCGGAAUGACGGCCUUCGGGUAGUAACCAGCUUUCGACUGUCACGACGCGUGUGUACGGGUACUGGGUAAAGAGCCACCGGCAACCUCCUU
rnacentral:rRNA from 1 species